UAGAUACCCUAUUAUUUUGGAUUUAAAAAUUUAAACUUGAGUAGUAUUAGAUAUGGUCUUGAAACUUAAAGAAUUUGGCGGUAUUUUAGUCUAGUUAGAGGAAUCUGUUCCGUUAUCGAUAAUCCGCGUUGAACCUUACUUAGUAAAUAUGAUAUGUAUACCGCCGUUUAUUUGAAGAUCUUUUUAGGGUUAAUUUUCUUUAAAUUUAAAGUGAUUUAAUUUCAGGUCAAGGUGCAGUUAAUGAUUAAGUGGAGAUGGAUUACAUUAUUAAUAAAUAGACGAAUUAGAAUUUGAAAUUGUUUUAUGAAGGAGGAUUUAAUAGUAAUUAAUAAUAAGAGUUAUUUUUGUGAUUUUAGCUCUAAAGUGUGUACACAUCGCCCGUCACUCUCGUUAUUAAGAUGAGAUAAGUC
rnacentral:rRNA from 1 species